AGAAUCAACGCUGGCGGCGUGCCUAACACAUGCAAGUCGCACGAGAAAGGGUAGCAAUACCUGAGUAAAGUGGCGCACGGGUGAGUAACACGUGAAUAAUCUACCUCCGAGUGGGGAAUAACUGAGAGAAAUCUUAGCUAAUACCGCAUAACACUUACGAGUCAAAGCAGCAAUGCGCUUGGAGAGGAGUUCGCGGCAGAUUAGUUAGUUGGCGGGGUAAUGGCCCACCAAGACGAUGAUCUGUA
rnacentral:rRNA from 1 species